rnacentral:lncRNA from 8 species
UCUCUGGCUGAAGUUGAUCAGGAAAGUGAGAGAGGUAAGUACCUCACUGUUGCAGUAUGUAUGGGUAAUGCAGUAUGUAUGGGUAAUGCAGUAUGUAUGGGUAAUGAAUGCAGUAUGUAUGGGUAAUGAAUGCAGUAUGUAUGGGUAAUGAAUGCAGUAUGUAUGGGUAAUGAAUGCAGUAUGUAUGGGUAAUGCAGUAUGUAUGGGUAAUGAAUGCAGCAUGUAUGGGUAAUGCAGUAUGUAUGGGUAAUGCAGUAUGUAUGGGUAAUGAAUGCAGUAUGUAUGGGUAAUGAAUGCAGUAUGUAUGGGUAAUGAAUGCAGUAUGUAUGGGUAAUGAAUGCAGUAUGUAUGGGUAAUGAAUGCAGUAUGUAUGGGUAAUGAAUGCAGUAUGUAUGGGUAAUGCAGUAUGUAUGGGUAAUGCAGUUUGUAUGGGUAAUGCAGUAUGUAUGGGUAAUGCAGUAUGUAUGGGUAAUGCAGUAUGUAUGGGUAAUGCAGUAUGUAUGGGUAAUGUAAUCCUUAUAGGUACCCUUAAAAAAACGGUUGUUAUUUAUAUUCUGUCCAGCGUUAGUUAUCUGACGGUAGUUGACUUCCUGUUUCCUCCAGGGUGUGAUGUCAACGCUCGUCCUGCAGAGACAGCAGAGCCUGACCCCGAGCCUCACCGCCCACAUCACAGACAGAGACCCCCAACCUGACACUCCCACCGACAGGGACACCGCCUCGCCACGGGCGACAGUGAGCACCUCGACCCCCACCGCCACCCCGACUGGCACCCCGACCGUCACCCCCACCACGACGCCCUCAGCCUCCCGGGCCGGGUCCUUCAGAGACAACAGCCUGGGUCAAUCAGGACAUCAACAGAGAGACAACAGCCUGGGGGGCGGCCACAGACAGUCAGUGCGGUCCGUGCGUAGCGUGGCAUCAGUAGCUCCACCCCACCGUACGUCAGACUGUCUUCGCCACGGUAACAGCAGCGACGCGCGGGCGGUGAGGGCAGUUUGUCUGCUGAUGGGAGGGGCAGCAGCCUCCUCCGCUCUGGGCUACCUCCAGUCCUGUUCUCCCUCCUCCCCUCUGAACUCCAGAGCCUCCAGCCUGCAGGAGCAGGGCCCGCUGGGCCACGGCGGGGGGGCCGGGAGCUUCUCAGAGAUGGGAGGGGGGUCAGGUGGGUCCUUCCAUUGUAGUCAGGACAUAGACAACCCCCCACAAUUCAACAGUUUCGACUUCGAGGGAGGAGACUCCGACUUUGAUGCCUUUGAUUGCGGAGGGUUCGCUUUUUAGGGGUUAAAACAAAUACAACUGUGAACGGUUGAUAAUAUAUUAUUUGUUGAAUUACUGUGGUUUACUGUAUAGGAUCUAUAACAGCCUUAGAAAGGUCCUGUCUAUUGUUGUCUUUAAGUGUUAACCUGUACCAUUAUUGAAUUGUUUGAUCACAUGUACUUCCUAUGUGUUAGUUAAUGAAUUUUACAGUCUUAACGAUCCUAACUUGAACCCUCCUUAACCCGGGCUGUCC